rnacentral:rRNA from 1 species
AGGACGAACGCUGGCGGCGUGCUUAACACAUGCAAGUCGAGCGGAAAGGCCCUUCGGGGUACUCGAGCGGCGAACGGGUGAGUAACACGUGAGCAACCUGCCCUUAGCUUCGGGAUAGCUCCGGGAAACCGGAAUUAAUACCGAAUAUGAUUUUUGCUGACAUCAGCAGAAGUGGAAAGUUUUUCGGCUAGGGAUGGACUCGCGGCCUAUCAGCUAGUUGGUGAGGUAACGGCCCACCAAGGCGACGACGGGUAGCC